AGCGAACGCUGGCGGCAGGCUUAACACAUGCAAGUCGAACGGGCAUCUUCGGAUGUCAGCGGCAGACGGGUGAGUAACACGUGGGAACGUACCCUUCGGUUCGGAACAACUCUGGGAAACUGGAGCUAAUACCGGAUACGCCCUUAUGGGGAAAGGUUUACUGCCGAAGGAUCGGCCCGCGUCUGAUUAGCUAGUUGGUGGGGUAACGGCCUACCAAGGCGACGAUCAGUAGCUGGUCUGAGAGGAUGAUCAGCCACACUGGGACUGAGACACGGCCCAGACUCCUACGGGAGGCAGCAGUGGGGAAUAUUGGGCAAUGGGCGCAAGCCUGAUCCAGCCAUGCCGCGUGAGUGAUGAAGGCCUUAGGGUUGUAAAGCUCUUUUGUCCGGGACGAUAAUGACGGUACCGGAAGAAUAAGCCCCGGCUAACUUCGUG
rnacentral:rRNA from 1 species